AAGGUGGGGUAAAACGUACACUGGAGGCCGAACCCACCGUCGUUGAAAGACCGGGGGAGUGAGCUGUGGGUCGGAGUGAAAGGACUAAUCCAAGCCCGGAGAUAGCUGGUUCUCCCCGAAAGCUAUUUAGGUAGCGCCUCGUGUCUCACCCCGGGGGGUAGAGCACUGUUUCGGCUAGGGGCCAUCCCGGCUUACCAACCCGAUGCAAACUCCGAAUACCCGGGAGUGCAAUCACGGGAGACACACGGCGGGUGCUAACGUUCGUCGUGGAAAGGGAAACAACCCAGACCGCCAGCUAAGGUCCCUAAAUCAUGACUCAGUGGGAAACGAUGUGGGAAGGCACAGACAGCCAGGAGGUUGGCUUAGAAGCAGCCAUCCUUUAAAGAAAGCGUAAUAGCUCACUGGUCGAGUCGGCCUGCGCGGAAGAUUUAACGGGGCA
rnacentral:rRNA from 1 species